UUCCCCUACAAUAAAGAAAGCAGGUGGGCUAAUGUCAGGGGAGAGACCACGUACACACGUUGGGCUUGCAGUAGUAAAGUCUCCUGUGGGGAGCAACAUGUUUGGAGAAAGGCAGAAAUGGAGUUUGGCAUGCACUGCUGAGUGCCUCUUAGCAGAAUAUUUGAGAUUAAUGUACUGUAGAUAUUAUAUCCUAUAUAAUAAUGUACCAAUAUAAUAUUAUAAUACUUUCAAGACAUUGUUUCUCAUUUCAGAUCUUGUUCCUUGCUCCAGGAGAUAUGAUUUGACCUGGCUGAAGGAACAAUGAGAUUUCAGAUGCCAACCAAGUACACUGAUGGCACUGGAAAUAGAGAACCUGGGAGACCUGUUGGAGAGUCCAUUGCAGUAAAUGGAGUACAUUUACCUCAAAGGGAGCCUGAUCACAAAGAUGACAGCAUAGUUUCAUACUUUACUUUUCCUGUCCACAUUUCUCAUUGGCACAGGCCUUCACCACUAUAAAAGUACCUUAUUACUGAAUUACAGGAGCAUCAGUGCCGAUGGAGGAAGGUUUGUUUUACUUCUGUACAUGCAGCAGACUGGGAAGAAGUAAAAAAACCACUUUGUGAAGACGACAACAGCACAGUUAUGACUGGUGUCAGUCAACACAGACCGCUAACAUUACCUUGGUUUGAAUGGAGUUCAGAGCAUCCACAACUUUCUGUAUUUCAGGCCUGGCAUUUCCUACCUGUAAUACAAACCAUAUGAAAAGAAAAUAACCAUGCACUCUCAAGAUACCUUUAGUUUUCUGUUACAGUUCUCAAGGAAACAUUUUAUAGUACAUUUUCCCAGCACCAUUCCAUUACAUAACACGAGUAUUACAGCAAAAGUGACUAGAACUGUCUCUAAAAUCAUGCCAGCUGACAGUCAGCACAAACGGGUCAGCCAAGGACACUGGACAGAAUAUUUUCUUUUACAGCACAUGGAUUUAUUUUUGGACUUGAGCUGUUCCUUUUUGAUAGAAGUCACCCUCCUAUAUAAGACACAGUGAAGCCAGGACACAGUGCACACUGCUGGGGCAGAGUCACCUUCUUCAACUAGCUGUGAAGACAAUUCAACUAAGACAAAAUGCUCUGGACAUUUAACAAUGACAGGAAAAGGAAAAUAGGUGUUAUUUAGGUUGGUCCUAAAUUCAUACAUGACUUUGUCAGUUAUGCACAUCACCUUUCACUGAUAAGUGUUAUGGCAGUGUCACUGUCAUGAUGAAGGCAAGUAUGCUGCUAUGGGGCUGCCACAGUGAUUGAUGGCAGUCAUACUCCAUGGCUAGUGUACAAUUUUUAUAUGUAGAGAAAGCCAAAAAUCUGGAGCACCAUCUAGUUUGCUCUGGGUUUGUGCCUUAUAACAUAAUGCUGCCUUAUUCUGUAUUUUAGGCACUUGGGUCUCCCUGCAACACAAUGAACACACUGGACUCAUCCAAAUAAUACAAAAGAAAAGGUUUAACUAACCUUCAUGAAGAUGCCUACCACAGCCAGACCAUCAGGAUGCUUCACAGCUUCAGCAAAUUUACCAUAUUUUACGUUCCAGUGAACAAUAUGGAGCUAGGAAGAAGAGAACAAGAAGUGCUAUGAAGAUGAUAUUCUAUCCACAAUAUUUUACAAAUGAGGAUGCAGGGAAGUAAUUUAUUAAACAUUAAGAGUAGAUGGUAUUUUACUGCUGAGAUUUAAAAACUUCUGUGUACAGUUAAGAAUUUGUUGAAUCAUUCAUCUACUUUCAAGUUUCAUUUAUGCAAAGAGAUUUCUAUCAUGCGUUUUAUUUUGCUUCUCACUCUUAUUCCCAGAUGAGUUUUAAAUGCAAACUGUGGCUGUAUCUUUCUGCUUUUAGACUGGUGAAACUCCUGUUAUCUUCAGCGUGAGUUUUUCCUGCAUGCAGCCUGCAAGACUUUGAUAUAGUAUUUUAAUGCUAUAUAUCCUGGAGUUCUUACCAACACCAAAAACCGUGGCUGUCCGGUGUCAGGGAAAAGCAGCAUUAACUACAGAUCUGACCUGGAAUCUACAGAGUUUGUUUUAAAAACAGUCCUGUCCUUUUCUGGAAAGCCUUUGAAAAGACUAUGAAAUUAAUCUUGAGGUCGCACUAGCCAGGAUGUUGCUUUAUUUAUGAUUUCUGAGUUAUUUCUAAUUUAAGUUCAUCUGGCUGUUUCCCCAUAUCUGCAAGUCGAGCAAGUAAUUAUGGUACUGUGAACUGACAUAAGGCAACAGCAAGUUUCUUGGACAUUCCUCCUAGGACGCUGUAUCAUGACGAGCAAGAGAUCAAGACAGCAUGCAAGCAUCUGACUGUAGGGAAUCAUACUCGCAGAAAACAUCUAUAAUGGGUUUCACCAAGAGAAAAACUACGUAAUUGGUAUCUCAUUUUCAAGAGAAAAACUCUACUCUGACCUUGCUAGAGGGUUGGCCUGAUAAGGCAACAAGGAUGUUCCACAGAGAUAGACCAGAAUGAAACAUCUGCCAAAAUGCAGCAGGUCUACAGACGUGUGUAUCAGCAGUGGGUCAGUGAUUCUGAUUCACCUCAGCUGAACUAUUUCAUCCAGACUGGGGAGCAGCCAGAGAGACUCUGACCUGCUUACGGAUACAAAGUCAUUUAGGUUCUUAACUUUCCUCCUGCUCCCUGGGACCAGCAGAGUUUAUUUCUCAUGUAGUCUCUUAAAUGAAGAUUCUUUGACAGUCAUAAGGUGCUGUACCGAGCCUCUGAUCAGCCUUCAAUCCUCAUGUUUCACACCCUAUGAACUGACAAUGACUUUGUAAGAACUGAGUAGGAAGCAUUAAAAUUCUUAGAAGUAACUGAUUUAAAUUCUGAUGAUAGCAGCUAUAAUACUAAUAUCAGUUACUGCUUACAGUACUGAAAAUUGUGUACUGGACAUGGUGAGCAUACUACAUUGAGAUCUAAUGAAGGAUGAACAAACUUAAGGUGUAAGCGUUGCCUCUAAGUACACAGCAGUCCCUCAUGCCUCUAAGUAAAUGAACAAAUAUAUUGGCUGGGACGAUGGUGACAUCUGGCACACAGCUUCAUUACAUCUUAAAAAUAAACUUUUCCAAGUGGCCCUAGCUGAUAACAGCUGACUAGUUUAUCCUGGUUUUGCACUAAAAGCACCUCUAGAGGAGUAAUUUGGAAGAAGGAAAGAAGUUGCCAUGAUUCUUACAGACAUAAUUCAUGUCAAAUUUCUGCCCAGCAGUUGCAUGUUUAAAAAAAAAAAGUUCAUGUAAGUGAAGAAGGGCACUUCUGGGCCUGAGACAAUGCAGGACUGAUCUCCACCCCUCUCAUUUUCCUUUCCAGUUCCUCAAAACAGUAGAACUAUUCUCAAGUCACCUGCUUGUGUAGGCUUUGCAGCUUCUGGUCAUCGCCAUUCACUAGAGAAAUGACUUAAUGAUCACACACCCUCUGGGACCUCUGACUUUCUUGUCAAGCAGUGCACAAAAGUACUUGUGACACACAGGCAGGUGUCCAAAUACUAUAAGCAAUCAGCUCCCUAAUUUACGAUGCAGAAGGGUCAGCACAUUGCUUAGGCUACACUGUACUGUGGACCUUCAAUCCAUGACUGUAUACUGAUAACAUCCAAUACUAUUCUAGCACAGCUAAUGUUACAUCUUCAGAGUUGGGAAGCCUAAAAAUAGCCCAGUGGCAGCGACUUGGAUUAAAAGUUGUGCCUUAAGGACAGCAGACUCGCAUGUUUCUUCCUCAGUUUACCUGCUGAGGGGCAGAAGUGUAGGAAAAGAGCAACAGUGGCACAACUUUCAGAGUAACUCACUGCCAACCCAGCAGUGCUAAUGCACUGGUUGUUGAAUAACAAAUGAAAAAAAAAAUCUGUUUGUUUACAGCGAGUCAUAAUUCAAGACAGAUGAAGCCUCCUCAUUAAUAUUGACAGUUAUAGGAAGAAUUGGGCAAUGUAUUUGAUUACAACUACUGAAAACCUCCCAAGGGGUGCUAGUUCCAAGGUCAAUAUAGUAUUUUGAUUUCCCUAGGGCUCCUCACAAUUUUAAAGUUCCACUACAACUGAGUAUCCACAAAAGUGUCAGAUUUACAUGGGACUCUGUCUUGGAUUUCAAUAUUAUCUCUAUCUCAGCAGCAAUGAAGGAAAAGGAAAUAAUUAAGGGACUUGUCCACCAGCAGAAGUUGCCAGUACAUUUAGUAAUGUCUCCAGAGCCUUACACCACCGUUGCAAUUCACUUCUGUCAGGUUCUACAGCUAAAAUAUGAUAUUUUAACAUUCUUGUUAUGGAAUAAAUUAAUUGAUGAUUGACUUCUUCCUUUUAUAAGUGCAUCACACACAUGAUACAGUGCCUACCGCUGUGAGAAUUUCCCACUUGAAUUUCAGGUUUUAGGUGAAUUCUGGAAACUUCUGUGAAACACAGACAACACAUUGUAGGUAUGUUACAAAAUCUUCUUUCGGGCUCUUGAACCUCUCUUGAGCAAAGUCACUUCCUGUGGUUUUACAGCUCUGCGAAGUCUCUACUUCAUCUUUUAAAGGGAGUGAAAUACACUCCUUACACUUGCCCUUACAGCAGACUACAAUAUAAAGUGUUUAAUAUGAUAAAGUACCCUUAAGACACUCCUUUGCUGUAAAGUUCCUAAAAUAAGGUGCACUGUUAUAAUUCAAAGGUUAUCAGCACCAUUUCCUUCACUCAUAUGUGGAAGGUCAGGUCCCAGGAUACAAGAGUGGAUGAACCUGAAUCUGUAGUUUUGUUCCUACUGUCACUUUUAUCGUUAUGAAUUUUUGCUUUUAUUUAAAGUUAUAGAAGUUUUAAAGAUGAAUGCCUGCAAAUACUUGACUUUCACCAUUAUUAACAGACAGUGGACAUGAGAAUUAAGAAAGCAACUCCAAGAAUUGAAGAAGAGAAACUGAUCAACAACUGGAAGAGGAAGUUCAGUUUGCUUUCUUCAUACAAGUCUAAGAAAACAUUCUGAAAGACUGCAAGGAAACAAGAAAGAAGGCAUCUUUUUAUCUAAGGGAAAAUAAUGGAAUUUCAGCAAACAAAAAAAAGUCCAUAAACAUGGCAAUGCCGAUUUAUGAAUCUUCUUUCCAUACACCAUUUCCACCAACUCGCAACUGUGAAAUAUGAAGGGGAUUCACUUUGGGAAUUGACUGAGCCUUUAGAAGUGUAUUCCAGAAUGUAAAAGCUGUCACGCAGCCCAAGAAAUUCAAAGGUUUACUACAAAAACUGAAAUAGAAGAUUUGGGGGUAAUUGCUCAGGAAGAGGGUUUUUUUAAACAUGCUUAGUAUCAUCUAAGUGUGUCUGAUAAAAUUAGCGGGGAAGUAAAACAAAGUCAGGUUCUACAGCUAUCACAAAGAUUUUAACAUAAUUUCUCCAUUAAAACAUCAUUGUAAGAAAAAAUUAAAUGGGUCGUAGGCAUAAUUACAACCUGAAUUAACAGUUAUGUCUAUAAAGCUCCACCUAUUAGUAAAGCGAUCCUCUAAGAGCAGACAAGAAAGCAUUUUCUUCUGUGAAGAUAUACAGGUCAUAUAAAUUGCACAUAGAUCACUUUGUUUUAAAAUGUUAAACUUUUAUUUUACAUCCUUACUAUGCUAAAGAAUAUAGAUGGGAUAUAAUUUUAAGAAAUCCUAUUUUUUCUUUUAUUUUUUUAGUUUUUCACUCACAUGGGCAGAAGCUUUAUACGACAUAUUCUUGUGUGUACACACAUAACAAAUAUAUAUUAUUUGGGAGGAAAAAUCUCUCACAUAAUUUUUAGUAUUCUAACACCUUCUUGUUGUUACUUGUGAUUAAUAGUACUCACAUUACAUAUUUUUUGAAUCAAUGAAAUAAAUAACAACUACUUUCAAAGACUUUUAUCCAAACAUGUAUUUUAGCUUUCUUACUUAUUUUUACUAUACUUUUACUGCCUGUAUCUUUUUUAUUGCAAGAACUCAUUUUGCAUACCCUAAUGAGCAGGAGUCAAACAGACAAUACCUAGAACUGCUGUUCAAUUUACUUCACUGCCAUUAGUUAGGCUGAAGGUACUUAAUGAAUGGAUCUACUUCUUGGUUUUUGAAUAAUCUUCAAGACAUGAGUAAUUGCACACAAUGAUCUUAUUACUUCAUUUUGCGCCUACUACCACAGAUACCAUUACUGCAUAUGGGACAGCUCAUCGGAGCACGCACUAUAGCCUGUGGGAAGUAUUUACAGGAUUUCGUUCCAUUGUCUUCUGUAAAACACACCAGCACAUCACAUUAUUUCACAUAGUUUCUCCUUGUGACUGUUGCAUGACGUCUAACCGAGAAUUUGGUAUACACAUUACAGUUAGUCUCAAAUUCAGAAACAGGAGUGAAUCAAGCACAGUCAAGUCAGACAGCUCUAUUUUGUGUAAGGAAAGUAGGUUACCCAGUUAACUGCAUACAAAUGAAGCCAUUAACUGUGCUGCCAGGUAGAUUCUAUGCACUGUAAUUUUCAAUAGGAAUUGUGAUGCUGAAGGAUCCACCCUUACCUGGCCUCAGAGAUCUGUUUAAUGCCUUUUUUCCCCCUAAAGAAUAAUCAGUUUCUUAUUCACCAAUACAGCUACUGAGAAUAUUGCUACUUGCAUCUCCUAUCCUCCCACUCUGAAAGCUGUGUCACUGCAUAUCUGUCAGAGGAUCCCUGUCACAGAUGUUCUGGUUCUGCACCGACUUCUCAUAAAAAGCAUUCUUCCUACAGACACUUCUUUAGAUCAUUAUAUGUUCCUGCAUUUUUUCUGCCCAAAUACAACCUAAUUUUCACAAUCUUUCCAAACUUAUGCAUGCACAAAGUGAACACAUAAUAGUUUUGUUAGACUGUGAGGACCUGAACCUGUUUCCUCAGGGC